AAAAAAAAAAAAAAAAAGAAAAAAAAAAAGCCCUUUUCGAGCAUCUUCCCAUCGGGAGGGCUGUCGCUCGCUCGAGGUUUCUGGCCAGCAGCUCCAAGGACUGUCACAACCAUGCUGUGCAUUUGGGAACGUCAUGCAAUGGGGCUUGUGAAUGGAGGACAUCCUGGCCCCACUACGGGUGGGAUAAGAACAACUCUCACCUCAAGGGGUGCACUGAUGACAGAGGCAGUUCCCACCAUCUGUGGAUUUCCUCAUCCUGGUAGCUCAGUGAGGAGCAGCAGAUCCUAGCUAAAUGCCUUGUGGUCCAGAUGCUAUGAACCGUCCACCCUGGUUCCAGUAAGAGCAGUGCCCCUACAACACCAUGGUAAGCAGCUGCAUGGAGAUUUGAGCCAUCCCAGGGUGGAGGUCAACUUCUCCAUCCCCAUGUUUGCCAUAACCCCAAACCCAGCCACAGCACACGCACUGAUGUUAAAGGGAAUUGGCAGCACAAAACUCAUCCUGAUUUCCAGGCUGACAUCUGCACAACCCUACUGGCUUCUCCAGCAGAACCAAGAGAGACCUGUUCCGUCCCAAAGUUUCCCACUAGGCUAAUUACUGCUAAUUGUACCACUUGUCUAUCUCACCAGCAGCACCCUGAGCAGGGCUGAUAGGGUAUCAGUGAGAUAAGGAGCACUCGGACAGCACAGGUAACAGAACUUUGGGAGGGGUUAUCACCACUACCACCCUCCUUUGGGGGGACACUUGUGUUUCUAAGGAUGCAGCAGGGGCUGGCAUCCAACUGUAAGCCUUUUGGGAAAUGCUACCGUGGGUUUUGGUGACUGCAAGCUGCAGAGAAGCAAGCUGGCAUUCAUUUCAUAGUAAUUCCUUUAAAUUCACUUAGCAUGCAGAUUAUUCGUAUGAGCUGUUCUUGUUGUUCUUAACACAACACUGUGGAAAUGGAGGUUUCAUCAUUUCUCCAUUUUUUUUUUCCCCCCUCCCACAGAGAAAUAAAU
rnacentral:lncRNA from 1 species